rnacentral:rRNA from 1 species
ACGAUGCCUUCGGGCAUAGUGGCGCACGGGUGCGUAACGCGUGGGAAUCUGCCCUUGGGUUCGGAAUAACAGUUAGAAAUGACUGCUAAUACCGGAUGAUGACGUUAAGUCCAAAGAUUUAUCGCCCGAGGAUGAGCCCGCGUAGGAUUAGCUAGUUGGUGUGGUAAAGGCGCACCAAGGCGACGAUCCUUAGCUGGUCUGAGAGGAUGAUCAGCCACACUGGGACUGAGACACGGCCCAGACUCCUACGGGAGGCAGCAGUGGGGAAUAUUGGACAAUGGGCGAAAGCCUGAUCCAGCAAUGCCGCGUGAGUGAUGAAGGCCUUAGGGUUGUAAAGCUCUUUUACCCGGGAUGAUAAUGACAGUACCGGGAGAAUAAGCUCCGGCUAACUCCGUGCCAGCAGCCGCGGUAAUACGGAGGGAGCUAGCGUUGUUCGGAAUUACUGGGCGUAAAGCGCACGUAGGCGGCUUUGUAAGUUAGAGGUGAAAGCCUGGAGCUCAACUCCAGAAUUGCCCUUUAAGACUGCAUCGCUCGAAU